rnacentral:rRNA from 1 species
CAGCACCUCAAGUGGUCAGGAUGAUUAUUGGGCCUAAAGCAUCCGUAGCCGGCGCUGUAAGUUUUCGGUUAAAUCUUUACGCUCAACGUACAGGCUGCCGGGAAUACUGCAGCGCUAGGGAGUGGGAGAGGUAGACGGUACUCGGUAGGAAGGGGUAAAAUCCUUUGAUCUAUUGAUGACCACCUGUGGCGAAGGCGGUCUACCAGAACACGUCCGACGGUGAGGGAUGAAAGCUGGGGGAGCAAAACGGAUUAGAUACCCGAGUAGUCC